UACGUAGGGUCCAAGCGUUGUCCGGAAUCAUUGGGCGUAAAGCGCGUGUAGGCGGCUCGGUAAGUCUGCUGUGAAAGUCCAGGGCUCAACCCUGGGAUGCCGGUGGAUACUGUCGAGCUCGAGUCCGGAAGAGGCGAGUGGAAUUCCUGGUGUAGCGGUGAAAUGCGCAGAUAUCAGGAGGAACACCAAUGGCGAAGGCAGCUCGCUGGGACGUGACUGACGCUGAGACGCGAAAGCGUGGGGAGCAAACAGG
rnacentral:rRNA from 1 species